UCGAGAGUUUUCUCGCGUGCUUGGUCGAUCAACUUAGAGCACGCGAGAAACUCAUUCUCGACA
rnacentral:pre_miRNA from 1 species